UACGUAGGGGGCAAGCGUUGUCCGGAAUCAUUGGGCGUAAAGCGCGCGUAGGCGGCCCGGUAAGUCCGCUCUGAAAGCCCAGGGCUCAACCCUGGAAGUGCACUCGAAACUGGUCGGCUUGAAUAUGGAAGAGGGUCGCGGAAUUCCCGGUGUAGAGGUGAAAUUCGUAGAUAUCGGGAGGAACACCAGUGGCGAAGGCGGCGACCUGGGCCAAUAUUGACGCUGAGGUGCGAAAGCGUGGGGAGCAAACAGG
rnacentral:rRNA from 1 species